ensembl:snRNA U6 U6 spliceosomal RNA
GUGCUGGCUUCAGCAGCACAUACACUAAAAUUGGAAUGAUGCAGAGAAGAUUAGCAUGGUCCCUGCGCAAGGAUGACAUGCAAAUUCACGAAUCCUUCCCUUUUUUU